rnacentral:lncRNA from 1 species
AGCCCUAAGAAUGAGUCAGAAACUGAGCUCAUGGAAUUUCCCCAGGCAGCUAUGGAGGCACUGAGCACCAAGGAGCUGAAGGAGCUAUCCCAAGAGGAGAAAGAAUCAUGCAAGGCAUAGAGAAGGUUUGUUUGAAUCUCAGAGAAUUUCAUAAUGUGUCCAACAUCAGCUUCUGACCUGGAGGAAGAAGUAGUUCCAUGUAUCCUGAGGAAGCUGCUGCCUUUGUCUGAUUGUGAUCAUCCAUAGGACCUAUAUGUAUCUUGUAUUCUAUGAGGGAAUGGGAAAAGAUUUCCAUGAUAAUACUGCUCUUAUGGCUCAUAAGUACUAGAACAAGAGGUGAGUAGUUAAUGACCAGGAGAGUAGAAUGUCCUAUAUUCUGCACAAUGUGCCUCCAUGUUUAGGCCAAUGUAGGAACCCCAAGCUCUCUCUUCUAGAGAUGAGAUCAUAGAGAAGAGCAUUAGUUUAGUUGGUUUCUUGAUUUGCUUUGUUUUGCCUCAACAACACUUUAGUUCUCCAUGAAAAGGCCCCAAGGACACUGAGAUGAACUCUGUUGCUGCACGCUUCAUGCAUCGGGAAUUUGUUCAUUCUUCAUAGUUGCUAACUUGCUUUCUCUCAUGUGAUAACCCAUAUCUCCAUACACAUUGUUUGUACUUAAAUUCAACUUCCUUUCCACAAAUCUUAAAUUGGGUUUUCUUCUGCACCUCUAGAUAUGGGGCAAGUGUCACUAUCACUUUAUGUGUUGCCAUGUAGUCACUCUGUCUUAGAUCCUGGAUGUGGUUCCCAUAUCCAGCAGCAUGCUUAACCUAAGACUGGACCAACUUUCAAG